rnacentral:rRNA from 1 species
AGCGAACGCUGGCGGCAGGCCUAACACAUCCAAGUCGAACGAACCUUUCGGGGUUAGUGGCGGACGGGUGAGUAACACGUGGGAACGUGCCUUUAGGUUCGGAAUAACUCAGGGAAACUUGUGCUAAUACCGAAUGUGCCCUUCGGGGGAAAGAUUUAUCGCCUUUAGAGCGGCCCGCGUCUGAUUAGCUAGUUGGUUGAGGUAAUGGCUCACCAAGGCGACGAUCAGUAGCUGGUCUGAGAGGAUGAUCAGCCACAUUGGGACUGAGACACGGCCCAAACUCCUACGGGAGGCAGCAGUGGGGAAUCUUGCGCAAUGGGCGAAAGCCUGACGCAGCCAUGCCGCGUGAAUGAUGAAGGUCUUAGGAUUGUAAAAUUCUUUCACCGGGGACGAUAAUGACGGUACCCGGAGAAGAAGCCCCGGCUAACUUCGUG